rnacentral:rRNA from 1 species
AGUGAACGCUGGCGGUAGGCCUAACACAUGCAAGUCGAACGGCAGCACAGUAAGAGCUUGCUCUUACGGGUGGCGAGUGGCGGACGGGUGAGGUAUACAUCGGAAUCUACUUUUUCGUGGGGGAUAACGUAGGGAAACUUACGCUAAUACCGCAUACGACCUACGGGUGAAAGCAGUGGAUCUUCGGACCUUGCGCGAUUGAAUGAGCCGAUGUCGGAUUAGCUAGUUGGCGGGGUAAAGGCCCACCAAGGCGACGAUCCGUAGCUGGUCUGAGAGGAUGAUCAGCCCCACUGGAACUGAGACACGCUCCAGACUCCUACGGGAGGCAGCGGUGGGGAAUAUUGGACAAUGGGCGCAAGCCUGAUCCAGCCAUACCGCGUGGGUGAAGAAGGCCUUCGGGUUGUAAAGCCCUUUUGUUGGGAAAGAAAAGCAGCAGGUUAAUACCCCGCUGUUCUGACGGUACCCAAAGAAUAAGCACCGGCUAACUUCGUG